rnacentral:rRNA from 1 species
UACGGGGGGGCAAGCGUUGUUCGGAAUUACUGGGCGUAAAGGGUUCGUAGGUGGCCAACUAAGUCAGACGUGAAAUCCCUCAGCUUAACUGGGGAACUGCGUCUGAUACUGGAUGGCUUGAGUGCAGGAGAGGAACGCGGAAUUCCAGGUGUAGCGGUGAAAUGCGUAGAUAUCUGGAGGAACACCGGUGGCGAAGGCGGCGUUCUGGACUGCAACUGACACUGAGGAACGAAAGCCAGGGAGCAAACGGG